rnacentral:lncRNA from 1 species
UUAAAGGUAAACAUUUAAUGGCUUACUUCAUCAGUUGAUCAACUACCCAGUCGACUGAUAAUGUACGAAGAUCACUGUAAGUUUGUCCAAUGCCUACGAAUAUGAUAGGUACCCUUACCGCGUAUACCAUGCCAACCAUAACACCAACUAGCUGACCCACAGUAUCAACUUUAGAAAUAAUAAAACCAUCCAAUGGGCGAUGAUAAAGGGAAGCUUGGAAAUGUUUUGCUUGUGCUAAGGAAUCUGUUCCUACUAAUGCUUCUGCCACUUGAAAAAUUUUAUCCAGCUUAGUAGCUUUAGUAAACUGUUAUGUUAGUUCAAAGUUCAAACAAUUCUAUCUUAGUAGAAGACUCAAUACUUAAUCAAUUUUGUAAGUAAUUACCUUUUCCAAUGAUCCCAUAAGCCUUUGAUCGUUAUGUCUCCGGCCAGCAGUAUCAAUUAAUAUAACAUCAAAACUAUUUUGCUUGGCAUACUCAACAGCGUUCUUAACAACAAAGCUCGAGUCUUUACCAUAUCCCUGUGCAAAUAAUUCAAUGGAGCUACCCUUCAAACUUUGGAGAUUUUUCACAUGUACUCCGAGUUGUUCAAUUGCACCCGAGCGAAAAGUAUCGCAGGCAGCAACUAAGAUUCGAAAGUUGUUAGAUAAAAGCCAAUACGCUAUUUUAGCCAAUGUUGUAGAUUUUCCAACACCAUUGACGCCAAUGAGAGAAAUGGUAUACGGACGGUUUUCGUUUUUGCGUACAGAACGAAUACUAUGCAAAAGGUCCAAAGAUGUACUUGGGGUGAGUAUUUGAGUAAGCCUAUCCCGAAAGGCCUUGUUUACUGUGUUUUUCACAGUAUCAAACGAACCAACUUUUUUGUUUAUCAACGAAGCCUUCACAGAUUCACAAAGCUCCAGAGCUAUAGAAUUUGCGACAUUCUUUUUUGUUAAAUGUUCUUGCAUUUGCUUUAAAAUUGGACUAAGAUCCUCCUCCUUCAAGUAUUUCCCACCUAUUAAGUUGGAGAAAAGGGAAAACGCAGAAGAUGCAGAUUUAUUGGAAAUUGUUUGAUUGGGAUCCAUUUCCAAAUCACUUAUAAUAACAUCACCACUACCAGUCUUUUGAAACUUAUUAUUAUUACCCACAAUAGAAGAAAGUUGGGAAUUAUCGACUGUUUGGGAAGCAGAAGAUGCUUGACUAGAAUAGUUCAAUGCAGCCUGUUCUUCCUCAGUUAUUUGAUCAUCCCAUUUUCUGAGUUGCUUCUUUCCUUUUUUAGGGGCAUUUGUUUGCUUGGAUUGAGCGCCUUUUUUCUUCAUUUCAUAUUCAUUUUUCUUUCUUGCUGAGUUAUCAUUAUUAGCCUCAACAGGUAAAGAUUUCGUGUCUGUUUCAUUCUCCAGUUGUGCUGAUUUACGAUUAAAAAUGGGAGCGAACAGUUUUUCAACUUCUGCUUCAUUAGGAACUUGACGAUCUUCUAAUUUUUCUUUAAAUAGAUUCAGAAAUAUAUUAUGAGCACUAUUAAGCAGUGAUUGAGAAUAUGCCAUACAUUUCAAAUCUUGAAACACAACCUAAAAAUUCAACC